GUCGAGAAUCUUUCACAAUGGGGGCAACCCUGAUGGAGCGACGCCGCGUGGAGGAUAAGGUCUUCGGAUUGCAAACUCCUGUCAUGCGUGAACAAGGUUGCUUGGAUAAUACCUGAGCAAAUUGAUGGUAGCGCAAGAGGAAGAGACGGCUAACUCUGUGCCAGCAGCCGCGGUAAUACAGAGGUCUCAAGCGUUGUUCGGAAUCACUGGGCAUAAAGGGUGCGUAGGUGGCGUGGCAAGUCAGAUGUGAAAGCCCGGGGCUCAACCUCGGAACUGCAUCGGAUACUGCCAUGCUAGAGUACUGGAGGGGUGACUAGAAUUCUCGGUGUAGCAGUGAAAUGCGUAGAUAUCGAGAGGAAUACCAAAGGCGUAGGCAGGUCACUGGACAGUUACUGACACUGAGGCACGAAGGCCAGGGGAGCGAACGGGAUUAGAAACCCCGGUAGUCC
rnacentral:rRNA from 1 species